rnacentral:rRNA from 1 species
AUUGAACGCUGGCGGCAUGCCUAACACAUGCAAGUCGAACGGCAGCGCGGGGGCAACCCUGGCGGCGAGUGGCGGACGGGUGAGGAAUACAUAGGAAUCUACCCUGUCGUGGGGGAUAACGUAGGGAAACUUACGCUAAUACCGCAUACGACCGAGAGGUGAAAGCGGCGGACCGCAAGGCGUCGCGCGACUGGAUGAGCCUAUGUCCGAUUAGCUAGUUGGCGGGGUAAGAGCCCACCAAGGCGACGAUCGGUAGCUGGUCUGAGAGGAUGAUCAGCCACACUGGAACUGAGACACGGUCCAGACUCCUACGGGAGGCAGCAGUGGGGAAUAUUGGACAAUGGGCGCAAGCCUGAUCCAGCAAUGCCGCGUGGGUGAAGAAGGCCUUCGGGUUGUAAAGCCCUUUUGUACGGGAAGAAAUCCUGUCGGUUAAUACCCGGCGGGGAUGACGGUACCGUAAGAAUAAGCACCGGCUAACUUCGUGCCAGCAGCCGCCGUAAUAC